UACAGAGGGUGCAAGCGUUGUUCGGAAUUACUGGGCGUAAAGCGCGUGUAGGUGGCGAUGUAAGUCGGGUGUGAAAUCCCUCAGCUUAACUGAGGAAGUGCACUCGAUACUGUGUCGCUUGAGUGUUGGAGGGGAUGGCGGAAUUCCCGGUGUAGAGGUGAAAUUCGUAGAUAUCGGGAGGAACACCUGUGGCGAAGGCGGCCAUCUGGACAACUACUGACACUGAGACGCGAAGCGUGGGUAGCAAACAGG
rnacentral:rRNA from 1 species